rnacentral:tRNA from 5 species
GGGCUGGUGGCGGAAUGGCAGACGCGACAGACUUAAAAUCUGUUGACCGCAAGGUCGUGGGGGUUCAAGUCCCCCCCUGCCCA